rnacentral:rRNA from 1 species
GAUGAACGCUAGCGGCGGGCCUAAUACAUGCAAGUCGAGGGGUAUGGUUGAUUCGUCGGCCAGAGACCGGCGCACGGGUGCGUAACGCGUAUGCAACCUGCCCUUUACACGGGGAUAGCCCUCCGAAAGGAGGAUUAAUACCCGACGGCACUUUAGCGUGGCUUCACGCAUAAGUUAAAGAUUUAUCGGUAAGGGAUGGGCAUGCGUCUGAUUAGCUAGUUGGCGGGGUAACGGCCCACCAAGGCGACGAUCAGUAGGGGUUCUGAGAGGAUGAUCCCCCACACCGGUACUGAGACACGGACCGGACUCCUACGGGAGGCGGCAGUAAGGAAUAUUGGUCAAUGGGCGAGAGCCUGAACCAGCCACGCCGCGUGCAGGAAGAAGGCCCUACGGGUUGUAAACUGCUUUUAUACGGGAAGAAGGUCCCUCUUGCGAGGGGGAGUGACGGUACCGUAGGAAUAAGCAUCGGCUAACUCCGUGCCAGCCGCCGCAGUAAAAC